UCCUACGGGGGGCAGCAGUGGGGAAUAUUGCGCAAUGGGCGGAAGCCUGACGCAGCGACGCCGCGUGAGGGAUGACGGCCUUCGGGUUGUAAACCUCUUUCAGCUCCGACGAAGCGGUUUGUGACGGUAGGAGCAGAAGAAGCACCGGCCAACUACGUGCCAGCAGCCGCGGUAAUACGUAGGGUGCAAGCGUUGUCCGGAAUUAUUGGGCGUAAAGAGCUCGUAGGCGGUUCGUCGCGUCGGCUGUGAAAACCCGGAGCUCAACUCCGGGCCUGCAGUCGAUACGGGCGGACUGGAGUUCGGCAGGGGAGACUGGAAUUCCUGGUGUAGCGGUGAAAUGCGCAGAUAUCAGGAGGAACACCGGUGGCGAAGGCGGGUCUCUGGGCCGAUACUGACGCUGAGGAGCGAAAGCGUGGGGAGCGAACAGGAUUAGAUACCCCGGUAGA
rnacentral:rRNA from 1 species